rnacentral:rRNA from 1 species
UACAGAGGUCUCGAGCGUUGUUCGGAUUCAUUGGGCGUAAAGGGUGCGUAGGUGGCGCUGUAAGUCGGGUGUGAAAUUUCGGAGCUUAACUCCGAAACUGCAUUCGAUACUGCGGUGCUUGAGGACUGGAGAGGAGACUGGAAUUCAUGGUGUAGCGGUGAAAUGCGCAGAUAUCAGGAGGAACACCGAUGGCGAAGGCAGGUCUCUGGGCCGAUACUGACGCUGAGGAGCGAAAGCGUGGGGAGCGAACAGG